rnacentral:rRNA from 1 species
UACAGAGGUCUCAAGCGUUGUUCGGAUUCAUUGGGCGUAAAGGGUGCGUAGGCGGCGCGGUAAGUCGGGUGUGAAAUCUCGGAGCUUAACUCCGAAACUGCAUUCGAUACUGCCGUGCUUGAGGACUGGAGAGGAGACUGGAAUUUACGGUGUAGCAGUGAAAUGCGUAGAGAUCGUAAGGAAGACCAGUGGCGAAGGCGGGUCUCUGGACAGUUCCUGACACUGAGGCACGAAGGUCAGGGGAGCAAACGGG